GCAGACUGGAAAAAAGAACUGCAUCAACCCUGGCUUUGGGAACCUAGAGCAAAACAUAAACAACCCACAUGGACCACACUUCCCAGCCUUUCCUAGACCGCUCUGCUGUCAGGAAGUUCCACUUUAAGAACAAGCUGUAACCGAGCCUUUUGAUCACAUCUAGUCUAUAAUCCAACUAAUAUAUCCUGUGCUGGUUGCUUCUGAUAGCCAGUUUCUAACUGCUGGGGAAAGGAGUGGACAUUUGACCGUUGUUUCCAAAGCUGGAUGUCCCCAGGAUAUCAAGGAGUGACCAGCAAGACUCAAACAUCAAACUGCCCCAACUGGAGGACGGCAGGUCCCAGAAGCCAGGAGUGGAUAAAGCACGAGUGAAAAUUCUACAGCAUGGCAGCUCUGCACCGGGCCAGAGCACUGUGGGCACCUGGGAGUUCUGUUCAGGGUGCUCAGAGACUCAGAG